rnacentral:rRNA from 1 species
UUCUUUCUUGACGGAGAGUUUGAUCCUGGCUCAGGAUGAACGCUGGCGGCGUGCCUAACACAUGCAAGUCGAACGAAGAGGCUCCUUCGGGAGUACUUCAGUGGCGGACGGGUGAGUAACACGUAGGUGACCUGCCCCGAAGUGUGGGAUAACAGUCCGAAAGGAUUGCUAAUACCGCAUGUGGUCUGCGAGUUUAGAAGGCGCAGACUAAAGCAGCAAUGUGCUUCGGGAGGGGCCUGCGCCCCAUCAGCUAGUUGGUAGGGUAAUGGCCUACCAAGGCAACAACGGGUAGGGGGCCUGAGAGGGUGACCCCCCACAUUGGCACUGACACACGGGCCAAACUCCUACGGGAGGCAGCAGUGAGGAAUAUUGCUCAAUGGGCGAAAGCCUGAAGCAGCAACGCCGCGUGCGCGAUGAAGGUCUUCGGAUCGUAAAGCGCUUUUGAGAGGGACGAGAUAGGACGGUACCUCUUGAAUAAGUCACGGCUAACUACGUGCCAGCAGCCGCGGUAAAACGUAGGUGGCAAGCGUUAUCCGGAUUCACUGGGCGUAAAGCGCGUGCAGGUGGCUUCGUAAGUUGGACGUUAAAUCUUUCGGCCUAACCGGGAGGUGUCGUUCAAUACUGCGGGGCUUGAGGGUAGAAGAGGGGGGUGGAAUUGCCGGUGUAGUGGUGAAAUGCGUAGAUAUCGGCAGGAACACCUGUGGCGAAAGCGGCCCCCUGGUCUGCUCCUGACACUCAGACGCGAAAGCUAGGGGAGUGAACGGGAUUAGAAACCCCGGUAAUCCUAGCCGUAAACGAUGGAUGCUAGGUGUGGGUGGUAUUGACCCCAUCCGUGCCGAAGCCAACGCGUUAAGCAUCCCGCCUGGGGACUACGGCCGCAAGGUUAAAACUCAAAGGAAUUGACGGGGACCCGCACAAGCAGCGGAGCGUGUGGUUUAAUUCGAUGCUACACGAAGAACCUUACCCAGGUUUGACAUGCAGGUAGUAGUGAAGCGAAAGCGGAACGACUCGCAAGAGAGCCUGCACAGGUGCUGCAUGGCUGUCGUCAGCUCGUGCCGUGAGGUGUUUGGUUAAGUCCACUAACGAGCGCAACCCUUAGAGCCAGUUACAAGUGU